rnacentral:rRNA from 1 species
UCACGCCUACGGGGGGCAGCAGUGGGGAAUAUUGCACAAUGGGGGGAAACCCUGAUGCAGCGACGCCGCGUGAAGGAAGAAGUAUUUCGGUAUGUAAACUUCUAUCAGCAGGGAAGAAAAUGACGGUACCUGACUAAGAAGCCCCGGCUAACUACGUGCCAGCAGCCGCGGUAAUACGUAGGGGGCAAGCGUUAUCCGGAUUUACUGGGUGUAAAGGGGGCGCAGACGGCGAUGCAAGCCAGGAGUGAAAGCCCGGGGCCCAACCCCGGAACUGCCCUUGAUACUGCAUGACUGGAAUCCGGGAG